rnacentral:rRNA from 1 species
UACAGAGGUCCCAAGCGUUGUUCGGAUUCACUGGGUGUAAAGGGUGCGUAGGUGGUGAGGUAAGUCGGAUGUGAAAGCUCGGAGCUCAACUCCGAAAUGGCAUUGGAAACUACCUUGCUCGAGGGUUGGAGGGGGGACUGGAAUACUUGGUGUAGCAGUGAAAUGCGUAGAUAUCAAGUGGAACACCAGUGGCGAAGGUGAGUUUUUGGACAACUCCUGACACUGAGGCACGAAAGCUAGGGGAGCAAACGGG